rnacentral:misc_RNA from 1 species
AAGUCGUAACAAGGUUUCCGUAGGUGAACCUGCGGAAGGAUCAUUAAGAAUCAUGGAUGUCGGCCACCCCGAGGGGUCCCACGGUCGACGUGGGGGUCCUCGGAUCGGUGCUAAGCCGUCGCUCAUCACCUUGAUUAUGCGCACCUUUUGUUGUUUCCUCGGCAGGUUUCCUGCCGCUGGAACCCCAUAAACCCCUUGUAUGAAGCAUUAAAACUCUGAAAACUACGUAAUUAUUUACAACUUUCAACAAUGGAUCUCUUGGUUCUG